GGAAAAUUGCCACAAACAAAGUCCUGGAGCAGCUUGGCCUCCGUGGAAAGACAGGAAAAGUGGCGUUUGAGGACUUGCCCCUUUACAGAAUAAUAAAUAAGGCAUGCAGGGGUGUUUACAAGCAGACGACCACAGCUGAAGUGGAUUGUGAGCUUGGAGAGGUCCUGAAACUGGCCACUUUUCGAAAGGGAGGUUCAAAAUUUGAGGAGAAGAGGAGGAAUUAAGAGGGAGGACAAAAAAGGAAAAAGAAACAAGCAAAAGAACAGAGUGAGAUGAGUGACCAGGAAGCGACGGCGAAGAACAAGGAUAAAGCCAAGAAAACGGAC